UACGUAGGGGGCAAGCGUUGUCCGGAUUUAUUGGGCGUAAAGAGCUCGUAGGCGGUUCCGUAAGUCGGGUGUGAAAAAUCUGGGCUCAACCCAGUGGAGCACCCGAUACUGCGGUGACUCGAGUCCGGUAGGGGAGUGUGGGAAUUCCUGGUGUAGCGGUGGAAAUGCGCAGAUAUCAGGAGGAACACCGACGGCGAAGGGCAGCACUCGUGGGCCGGUACUGACGCUGAGGGAGCGAAAGCAUGGGGAGCGAACAGG
rnacentral:rRNA from 1 species